rnacentral:tRNA from 1 species
AGUCUUAUAGUUUAAUGGUAAAACAACUCUCUUCUAAUGUGUUUAUAUAGGUUCAACUCCUAUUAAGACUU